AAAAAAACCCUGACAGCAGGUUUAGGGAGCCAGAAAUCUGGGGCUGAAAGACAAGAGCAAAAGAUCAGAGGGCAUGUGGGGAGGGGCAGGACAGAGCCUGGGAAGAUGGGUGAAGGCUUGUUUCUCAAGCAGUUGUCCUUCCCUCCCCCUUUCAAGAAGGUGGCCGUGCUCUCUUGUACCUGUGGCUUGAGGGAUUCUUUUGGAACGGGGAGCCCCUGAGAGCAGAAGGUGCCUGAAACCAGUGGCUCAUCCAGUCUUUAAUGAAAGCCCAAGUCCAUUGAAGUGAUGGGUGAUGCUGAGUGUUGCGGGAGAGGUGGAGCAAGAGUGCCUUUUAUUCUUUUGGGCAUCCACCCCUCAACAACCCAUGAAGUGUCUGGGGUUCCACCUUUGCCUCAAGAGAAACAGCACAUGACCUAGGCACAGGCCAAUCAGUGCAUCACAUUCCUCUUGCCUCAUGAUUGGUUCAAUGUUGUAUGACAGUGUGAGCUUUGGAGCUAUGGCAGCCAUCUUGUGACCAUGAAGGCACAAGCUGAGGAUGAAAGCCAACAUGCUGAAGAUGGCAGAGGAGGAAGACAGAAAAUGAUUCAGUCCUUGUAGACAUCAUUA
rnacentral:lncRNA from 1 species